GACGAACGCUGGCGGCGUGCCUAAUACAUGCAAGUCGAACGCAGUGGGGACGGGUGAGUAACACGUGGGUAACCUCCCAUCAGAGGGGAUAACACUUGGAAACAGGUGCUAAACCGAUACUGAUGGAUGGACCCGCGGUUCAUUAGCUAGUUGGUGAGGUAACGGCUCACCAAGGCCACGAUGCAUAGACGCUCGGGGGGGAGGAUCGGCCACACUGGGACUGGUACACGGCCCAGACUUCUACGGGAGGCAGAAGUAGGGAAUCUUGGGAAAUGGGCGAAAGUCUGACCGAGAAACGCCGCGUGAGUAAAGAAGGUUUUCGGAUCGAAAAACUCUGUUGUGAGAGAAGCGGUAUCUAACCAGAAAGCCACGGCUAACUACGUGCCAGCAGCCGCGGUAAUUC
rnacentral:rRNA from 1 species